UGAUCAAAAUUGGGUUUGCCCUUAAAAAAACAAAAGGAGGGGGGAAAGAAUAGAAUAGAAUUUUCUAUCUUCACUCAUUUUGCGAUCUGGAUUUGCUGCAAACUCUAGUAAAGGCGCAAGUUCUCAAAUAUGAAGCAAAAAGGCCGUUUUUACUACAUGAGAUUAAGCAGGAUAUCCAACUCAAUCCCACACAUUAGGUUGUUUAUCUGCGAAAUGUGAGACCCGGUAAUUAAAGUGCAAGCCUGCUAUAAUGCUGGAUGAAACGUGGUACAUGAAUCCGGCCAAAUGGGCAGGGAUAGGAAUCCCGACCAGGCAGAAACGGAAGGGCUUCGACAUAACAAGCCUCCUUGUCGUCCUAAAGAAUCCUCGCCGGAGGUGCCAUUAACAUUGUUGCCGCCAGCCUGCUUCGCAUUCAGUUAGGCUGUUUGUGGUUAGCUUGGGAAUCCCUCGAGAUCUGCAGGUGAGUUAUGCUAAAACCCUUUGUUCCUUUCUUCGCUCGUUUGGUGCAAUUUUACCAAUCUUGUGCUAUAUACAGUCUAACGUUGUGAAAUCUUGGCUGUUAUAUACUGUAUAUCCCAUUCACACACUAAAUUGUAUGCAAAUGUUACAGGAAAUUUGCAAAAUAAUUUUCCCUUCAUUUCACUUUUUGUUGACAAUAGAACAAUGUUUUGUUGUUUGCAAAUUGUGUCAGCUAGAAAAUUUGUGGGAAGUAUUAGGAUGAGGAAUUCAAAGAGUUACAUUAGCUUUAAUUGUUUUACAACAAGUCAUGGACGAGAUUGCAGUCACUUUGACUAUAUUUACUUAUGUUAUAAAACACCUCACAUCCGAAAACCCUACUCAUGAUCGGUCUCUGCGUCCGAGAUACUUAAUCAAUACUAGGAUAUCGGACCAGGUUCUUCACCUGCAUAGGCUAGUUUCUAUUUCCGAUGAGUCUUGCCUACGUAAGAUACGUAUGGACCGUAACGCCUUCGGACGGCUGAGCUAUCUACUUGAGUACUCUGGAGGCAUUUUGCAAACCAAACAUCUUACUGUACCGGAGCAAGUUGUGAUUUUCCUUUGUGGUAGCCCACAAUAAAAAGAAUUGUGUGGUGAAGCAUAAUUUUCUACGUUCUGGCCACACAACUAGCAAACAUUUUCACCGUGUGCUAAAGUCAAUAAUUAAAUUGUACAAUGUCCUGCUAGCUCGGCCGACUCCGAUUACAGAGGAAUGCGUGGACCCCCGUUUGAGAUGGUUUAAGUGAUGUCUAAAGGCUUUAGAUGGCACGUUCAUUGAUAUACGAGUACCCAAACAUGAAAAGGGACGGUACCAAACACGCAAAGGUCAAGUGGCCGUGAACGUACUUGGGGUGUGCAAUCCCAACAUCAAUUCAUAUACGUCCUUACCGACUGGGAGGGGAACGCAACUGAUAGCCGUGUUUUACGUGAUGCCUUCAACAGACCAGGUGGUCUAAGAGUUCCUAAAGGCAAUUACUACUUAUGUGACGAUGACUAUGCAAAUGCCGAAGGCUUCUUGACUCCGUACAGAGGUGUUCGCUACCAUCUAAGAGAAUGGGACACUAGUACCAGCGUGCUGCAGAACCAUUAGGAGUUUUUCAACCUCAAACACUCUUCUGCGUGUAACGUAUUGAGCAUACAUUUGGUCUACUUAAAAUGCGGUGGGGUAUUUUAAGGAGUCAAUCGUUCUACCCCAUUAAGGUGCAAAAUCGGAUAAUCUUGGCUUGUUGUGUGUUGCACAAUUUUUUGAGGACUGAAAUACCUGAUGAUCCGCUAGAAAAUGAGUUACCGAGUCAUGGAGAUGCUGGGACGGAUGAUGAGGUUGACUGUGUGUGGAAUAUCCCUCAUGGUCCACUUGGAGAGAUACAAUGGCCACAUCCAUGUACAAUGAGUGGAUGACUCGCCUGUGAUGUCACAUGCGACUCAACAACCUAUAUCUUGACCUCGUUGCUUAGGGUCAUAAGUCUAAUGAUGCGCGUGAGAUGUAUUAUUUCGACGGUUAAUUGUAAUCAUUGUUAUGUUAGCCUCUUAUGUGUUUUGUGUGAAGACUUUGUGUGAUUCUUGAAUUUUCCAUAUGUUUUACAAUCACUCAUUUCAAUUGCUGCUAUGUUGAAGUGCUAUUGUUGCAGACGACAUUACUAUGAUCCCCUUUGUACAAUUACAAUGUUUUUUUGUUUGACGUCAUGCUGUGCACAAUAUUUACAUCGUUGGUACAGGUUGUGUCCUGGUCAAUCAGACAUUUGUAUUUACCUAUUUAACCAACACAUAUAUUUUUUGGUGCAGGUUUCACCCAGGUAAGCCGAUCGAUCGUCCCUUGAAAGAUGGAGCUCGGAUCUGAUGAGGGUAGCAGUAGGCCGCGUCGGUGGGGAGGGAACAAAGAUAGAGCUUCUAGUCGUUAAACGUGGACGGUUCUGGAAGUGGAAUGUCUUAUAGCAGGCCUUAAAAAUUUGGUUGUAACUGGUUGGAAAUGUGACAUGGCUUUAGGAAUGGUUAUCUUGCACAAUUAGAGACGCAUAUGGCCAAGAAUUUUCCACAAUCUGAUAUUAAAGCCGAACCACAUAUUACUUCUAAAUUACAUGUCUGGAAGAAGCACUACAUGAUGCUGACCACUAUGCUGAUGAAGUCGGGAUUGGGUUGGGAUGAGAGCCGAAAUAUAGUAACGGUGGAAGACGAUAAUGCUUGAGAUGAUUACGUGAAGAUGGAUCCUAAUGCAAAGAGGAUGCGUUAUAAGACAUGGCCUAUUUUAAGCGCAUGGAGAGAAAUCUUUGGGAAGGACCGUGCGACAGGGGAGCGUAGUGCGGACCCUUAUAAGGAUGCAAAUGCCAUUAGAAAUGAGGAAAUGGCCGACACGCAAGAUUGUUAUGUGCCCAACGCUGAAUGGAAUCCAGACAUAGAUUUUGUUGGGCUGAAGGAGGAGCCGACGUCCUCGUUCAAUGCGAACGUCGAUCCCACUGGAACUCAUCUAGUGCACUUCAAGGAAACGCAAGAUAAGCGAUACCCGUGGAGGCAUCCCAAAGUUGGUUGAAAUAGUGUCUACCUUUUGUGAGUCAGCGAACACACGCUUGGGAACAUUGACUAGGGUGCUUGAGAAUGAAUUUGGAGACUCUGAACAUCGCGUGUUGAUCCUGUAGCAAGUUAGAGAUUUGGAAGCAUUUGAUGAAAAUGAACGCUUGAUGGUUGCAAAUAGGUUGGUUAAGAACCCAAACAAAAUAAAGCUUUUUCUGGGUUUGACAAAGAAUUCUCGGGUGAAGAUGGUGCAGCUAAUGCUUGCCAGUAAGAUUUAAUGAGCAAUCGUCCCGACUUGAUCCCUUACCUGAAAUUAUUAAUAGUAUUUGCUAAAUAUCACCGGACCGCUAUGCACAAAUAUUGCACCCACCUAACCAUGAUUUGGUAUCAGGAAUUUUUUUUGGUGUAAUGUUGUGUACUGAACAAGCUGUGCGAAGUGCUGCUUUUCAUACUGGUCAGUUAUGUAUUCAUUAACUUUAUUA